UGGGAUCAGAUGCAUGCUACCAUUGCGAGAUUAACCGACCAGAAGACUUUAUUGUAAGCAGCAAUAAUGGCAGAAUUUAAUAAAAAAUAAACGUCUCCACUGCCAUCUUACUUUCCUUUUCUUCUUCUUCUCUCUUACUUCUUUCCGUUCUUUUCUUUCUGUGUCUGUUUGACACUUUUAAUUAAUAUUUUAUAUAAAACUUCAUCACUUCCUAUGGAGAAGGUAUAAGCUUCCCAUCAAGUCUUACUUCAUUGAUUUGGGGUGCCCAAGAAGCUUUUUUUUGUCCUUGGCAGAUACCGAAAGGCGAAGUUUCGGUCAGAGUUUUCCUUCUUGUUGCUUUCUGUUAUUGUGCAUUCCAUCUGUGGCGCAAGUAUGUUUCUUUUUGAACUUAAACAUUUCGUUUCCACGUUAUUUUAGCAAAUUCGAAGGAAAUAAAACUCCUUGUUUAUUUCAAGCAGAUAUCUGCACAUGGCUACACUAGGUGAUAUAGGAGUAGCAGCAGCUAUCAAUAUACUCAGUGCAUUUGUUUUCUUCUUGGCAUUUGCGAUACUGCGGAUUCAACCUGUCAAUGACAGGGUCUACUUCCCUAAGUGGUAUAUUAAGGGUUUAAGGAGCAGUCCUUUGGGCACAGGAGCAUUUGUUGGCAAGAUAGUGAAUUUGGAUUUUAGGUCAUAUGUAAGGUUUCUGAACUGGAUGCCUGCGGCAUUGCAAAUGCCAGAACCUGAGCUAAUUGACCAUGCAGGAUUAGACUCUGCUGUCUACUUGAGGAUUUACUUGACCGGGCUCAAAAUUUUUGUUCCUAUUGCAUUCCUGGCAUUUACCAUCCUAGUGCCAGUUAAUUGGACCAAUAACACCUUAAAGCUUUCUAAUUUGACUUACAGUGAUUUGGAUAAGCUCUCUAUAUCAAAUAUCCCAAUGGGAUCAACCAGAUUUUGGACCCACUUGGUAAUGGCAUAUGCCUUUACCUUCUGGACAUGCUACGUGUUAAAAAAGGAGUAUGAGAUAGUAGCUUCAAUGAGGUUGCAUUUUCUAGCAUCAGAACAUCGACGCCCUGAUCAGUUUACUGUACUGGUUAGAAAUGUGCCGCCAGAUCCUGAUGAAUCAGUCAGUGAGCUUGUAGAACAUUUUUUUCUGGUCAACCAUCCAGAUCACUAUCUCACUCAUCAGGUUGUUUACAAUGCUAACAAACUCUCUGAGUUAGUCCAUAAGAAGAAGAAGAUGCGAAAUUGGCUUGAUUACUAUCAGCUCAAAUAUUCAAGAAAUCAAUCUAAAAAGCCCUCAUUGAAGACUGGUUUUCUUGGCCUUUGGGGGACGAGGGUGGAUGCAAUUGAUUACUAUACAUCCGAGAUUGAAAGACUAUCAAAAGAAAUUUCCUUGGAGAGAGAUAAGAUAGUGAAUAACCCGAAGGCUAUCAUGCCAGCAGCAUUUGUUUCCUUUCAAACUCGAUGGGGGGCUGCUGUUUGUGCACAAACUCAACAAUCUAGAAAUCCAACUAUAUGGUUAACUGAGUGGGCUCCGGAGCCCCGAGAUAUAUACUGGGAUAACCUGGCAAUUCCAUUUGUCUCACUUGCAGUGAGAAGGCUUAUUGUCGCAGUUGCAUUUUUCUUCCUUACCUUCUUUUUCAUGAUUCCCAUUGCAUUUGUGCAGUCUCUUGCAAACAUUGAGGGAAUUGAGAAAGCAGUGCCUUUUCUGAAACCCAUAAUCGAAAUGAAAGCCAUAAAGUCAUUCAUUCAAGGUUUCCUUCCGGGAAUUGCUUUGAAGAUAUUUCUUAUAUUUCUACCUUCAAUAUUGAUGUUAAUGUCUAAAUUUGAAGGAUUCAUCAGCCUGUCAGGGCUAGAGAGAAGAUCUGCAACUAGAUACUAUAUUUUCCAAUUUAUUAAUGUAUUUCUUGGGAGCAUAAUCACUGGAACUGCAUUUGAACAACUCAAUUCUUUUAUAAAGCAGUCUGCUAGCGAAAUUCCUAAAACAAUCGGUGUGGCUAUUCCAAUGAAAGCAACUUUCUUCAUAACAUACAUAAUGGUUGAUGGAUGGGCUGGAAUAGCAGGAGAAGUUUUGAUGUUGAAACCUCUAAUAAUCUUCCACCUGAAGAAUUUCUUCCUGGUUAAGACUGAAAAGGAUAGGGAAGAGGCAAUGGAUCCUGGAAGCCUUGGUUUCAACACUGGAGAACCUCGUAUACAAUUCUAUUUUCUGUUAGGUCUUGUAUAUGCAACAGUUACACCGGCUCUUCUUCCGUUCAUAAUAAUUUUCUUUGCCUUUGCUUAUGUCGUGUUUCGUCAUCAGAUCAUAAAUGUUUACAACCAAGAGUACGAGAGCGGUGCAGCAUUUUGGCCUGAUGUUCAUGGGCGUGUUAUCAUUGCAUUGAUAAUCUCACAGGUGCUUUUGAUUGGACUGUUGAGCACAAAGCAUGCUGCUCAGUCAACACCAUUUCUCAUUGCCCUGCCUGUACUCACUAUAUGGUUUCAUAAUUUCUGCAAAGGCCGCUAUGAACCUGCAUUUAUUAGAUAUCCAUUACAGGUGUGCUGUUGUCUUCCAAUUGAUAUUGAUGCUUUCUUGUUGUUUCAAAUGCUGAUUUAUUUUAUUUUUUAGUGUAUAGGUUCUUUUUUUUCAUUAUUAUUUUUGUGCUUCUCCUUGAUUUGCCUGCACUUGAUGAUAAUUUUUUCACUUUUGACUUAGCAUACUUUAAGCUGAGUUGCCAAAUGCGAUAUUAGUUGGUGAAAAUAUUUGAUAUAUGCCUAUUUUCAUUUUCCAUCAUUGGGCUGCUUACAGGGAAUGUCACUUCUUUAUUUGAUGCAUUCAGGGAAUAUUUGAUUUGGUUCAAAGUGAAGCACAACUUAUGAUGCAGGGAGCUAAUUUUCCUGCCGAGUAGAACUGCAAGAGGAUUUUAUUAAAUAAUUGUUUUUGUAUGCUGGCUUUCAGGAAGCCAUGAUGAAAGAUACACUGGAACGUGCAAGGGAGCCAAACCUGAAUUUGAAAGCCUAUCUCCAAAAUGCAUAUAUGCAUCCAGUUUUCAAAGGUGAUGAUGACGAAGAGGAUGAAGACAUAAGUGAAAAAUUGGUGACAGAGAGUGUGCUCGUCCCUACAAAACGCCAAUCGAGAAGAAAUACACCUGUGCCUAGCAGAAUUAGCAGUGCAUCUUCACCAUCUUUGACUGAGGUUAUUAAGGAACAUCCGGAACCUUAAUUCCCACGUACGAGACUUAAAUCUCACUGUACAUUUUGUCACAUUGCAACACUAGGGAAGAGUAAAGAUACUGUAAAUUAAAGGAUCGAGGAUAUUGUGGUUUGUAAAAGAGGAUAAAGAAAAGGUGCCGGCUACAAGCAUUCAAAUAUUCCAAGAAGAAAUGCAAGUUCUGGAUUUUGUGGUGGCACCUCAAGUCAAGAAUGAUUGUAGAUUAUUUAAGGUACAUUACAAAAAGUAGAUUUUUGUGUGCGUUUUUCAGAUAGGGACGUAUUGUACAUUUAAGGGUGUAGUUGUUUCUGUAAUCAGUUGGAAAAUUUUCAAUUUCUGUAUCCAUACUCCCCGUCUGCAUAUGCACAUUCCAAGGCUUGCUACUGCUUCCUGAAACCUUUGGUCGUUCUAAUUGGAAAGAACAUUUUUUUACAGAUUUUUCU
rnacentral:misc_RNA from 1 species